ACUGGUGAACAUCAUUGUAGCUCACAUACAUGAAAAGGAAGGGAGAGCUGUAAGUAAAGCAACAAAGGAGUUUCAUACCUUUGGGAUUGUGUUGCUCUUCCCAUUUUUGAAAGACCCAUACUCAAAAAAUGGAUAUGAACAUUUCUAUGACAUGCAGAGCAACAAAGGCGUAUCAAAACUGUGCAGCGUCAAUCCAAAACCCCAUCUGCACCCUGUAACACAGUAGAGCUGAAAGGAGGUCCCACAUUGUCAAGAAAAUUUGGAUCCAUAGAUGACCAGCAAACAGGAGAUAAAUGUAUGGAGACCAUGUCUCCGAUUCACCACAUCACUGACCGUGACUUAGUCUUCCAGAAGAUGAAAGAAACAUUCCGUUACCGGCAAAAGAUGCUCCAUGACCCACAGCAAUCAGCAGACAUACUUCAAAUGUUUCCUCAUUUUUUAGACACUAAGGGACUGAUUUUGACUUCUUGAUGAUGUUUGGAGCAGAGACUGCUUUCAAGUCUCUGCAGGAUACAUUGCAUGAAUUAGUUUAAGUUGCCUGAACAGAAGUAAAGCUGUAUCAAAGGAUGAAGCACCAAGGAUACAUCUGAACAUGAUUGCUGCUUUAGCAAAUUACUGCUUGUUUAAGUGAAUGUUUGCUAAAAAAACACUGUCAGUAAAGAAAGCACUUCUAUUCAAAAUAUGUACAAGUAAGUAAACAUGUAGCAUGGAUUGUUGAACACUGUAUGGAUUUGUCAAUACAAAUAAAUAUUUUUAGUAAUAA